GGCAGUGUAGCAUAGUGGUUAAGGAGCAGGACUCGUAACCCAGUUGCCGGUUCGAUUCCCCACUGGGGCACUGCUG